UGAGCUCACAGAGCUCUACCUCCCUCUGCCUCUCAAGUGCUAGGAUCAAAGGUUUGUGCCACCACCGCCACCACUCAGCAAAAAUGACUUUUUUUUUCUUUAAGGUUUUCUGAAGAUAAUGUGGGCAUUGGUGUCCACGCUUGUAAAAUGAGGAUGGUUCUAUCUACCGUCCCAUGGGGAUCACAUGGCGUAGACCUGCUGCGCUUUUUGUGGAACCUAGAUAUAUAUAGUCCCAAGUUCCCUAGUGAGAAAGAGCUAAGCAAUUCUUUGUGUGUGUGUGUGUUGUGUAGGCAGUGCGUUUGGUUGUCUCUGUAUAACAUGAUGGGCCAUGUCUGUUUUGGAGUGGUGGUGGAUGAAGGCUAUGUUGAGAAGGAAAGACCUAGGAGCUGUGACUUGCAGCCCAAGGCAAAGAAGACAAUUCUGAGGUUGGGACAUAGCCAGGCUGCCUUCAAAAGUGAUGACCCAAUCCCAGGGUUUUGCAAAGCUGAACAUCCAUAGAUGAUUUCAGUGCAGAGUAGCUGACCUGAUUGUGUUCCAUGGAAACCAUCCGUUUGGAGACCCUAGCUGGGGAAGGUCAUGGUGAAAAUCUUCAAGCCUCCAUGAGUUGCAGAAACAAGAGAGGCAUGUGUGCAUCUAUCUGGAUGCUCAGAAAUACAGGUUUUCAACUAGUGGAGCUUCAGUAAAUAUUGAUGAAUUGGACAUCCUAGAGAGGUGCCCUGGGGCAGCUCAACAUGGUGAGCCCCCUGACAUGGACGACUCCAUGGGAUCAGCAUCCAGAGUGAACAAGUUCUCAACAGCCACAGAGAAGCAUCACAUGAACUGUGGUGCAAGCAUUAAGAUGGCCUGAGUCAAGGAGCAGCUUUACUCUGAGAAGGCCUCCCCCUGACCCAAGCUGGACAGUAGAGCAUCAUUUAUUCAAUCAAUCAAUCAAUCAAUCAACCAAUCAAUCAACCAACCAAUCACUCUACGUUGCAAUUGGUGUUUUGUUUUUUUCUUUUUUUGAGAUAGGGUCUCACUAUGUAGCCUUGGCUGGUCUGGAACUUGGUAUGUAGACCAGGCUGGCCUCAUCCAGAUCUCCAUGUCUUUCUUCCUGCCUCCUGAGUGCUGGGAUUAAAAGUGUGCACUGCCAUUGUUUGACUAGAAACCUGGCCCCAAAGACUCCAAUAAACAUGUUGCUGGUACUGUAUGGCCAGUGCCAAACCCAGUGACCCUCAGUCCGCAUCCGCAGCAUUAGAACUGAGUUCUCUGUGUGAUACUGUCUUGGUGACUGUGAGGAAAUUUGGAGAGAAUCAGCCAAUUGGAGAAGAUACUGGUCAUAGCUGUCACAUCCCAAUAGACAUUUUCUCAGUUACACGUUCAUCUCAAAGGACUGAAGGAAGCAGCAGAGAGAUGGUCCAGUUCUCAGAUGGCCUUCAGCUUUGGCCCCCUUGGGCCAUCGAGGAGAAGUCUGCCUGACCCAGCGAGAAGUCUGCUUGACACUCUUGACGGUCUUGAAAGGUGUGGUAAAAAAAAGCCCUUGGAGCAUCUCCCUGUCAGCCAGGCCAGAGCAACAGGUACUGUGGGCUUUAGCAAGAGGACCAUGGAGAACCAGGCUGCCCUUCAACACUCUUAAGAUGUCUUCUGAUAAACAACCAACUCAUUGGCAUUCAAGUCCUUCUUUCCACAGGAUGCUAAGAAUCAGGUCUGCACCAGGCCAUCACACUGAUGUCAUAAUGGCAGCUUCUUAUCCUUUGUUAACAGCUUUUUGCUCAUUUCCUCCUGAGAGAUCGUCAGAAUGGGCUUCGGCAUCCAUUCGACCAGCAUGCUGGACAGGACCUUGAUCUCAAGGGAGAGCAAAGCCUUCCCCAUGGCACUCCUCACCUAAUGGCCGAGUGAGUCCUCUCCAGAAUCCCCUUCAGCCAGCGCCUUCAUGGCAAUGCUCUGGCCAUCUUGCAAACCCCUCAAAGUCUUCCCACCUCUCUCACUGCACCCUAAAGCCAGGGCUGCAUUUUUAUAUAUUUGUUUUACAGGAUUUCCCCCCCCCCCACUCCCGUUUUCCAACUAGUUUGUUUUAUUCUGAUGUCAGAAGAAAUAAAAGAGUUGUUUAAACAACAA
ensembl:lincRNA Gm6567 predicted gene 6567